GUUAAUAUGGGCUUUUAGGAAAAGGGUUAGCCCGCCCCGCACUAAAAUUUUUAGCCCUAAACCCGCACUUUUCUAUCCGGGCCAAAAUAGAGCCGCUUAACUUUGGUACUUGGGUUUUAUCAGGGUUAACUUUUUUUUUGCAGCAAACAAAGAAAACAUCGUUUCUUCUCAUCUUUCUCGUAAUCAAUACGAAAUCGAAGGGUUUGAAGCUCUUUUGGGUGCAACUGUUGGAGUGGAGACAACGACUUGGAAUCAUGGAAGAGAGCAAUUUUUAGUUUUUAAUUUUAUGAUAAACAUACCAUUAUGAAUAAAAAUAUGUAAACUUUUAAAUUUUAAUUUCAUGAUAAACAUUUACAUUUAAAUUUCAGCUAA